AAUUUGCUGGCAAAUAUAUUAAUGUAUUAAUUUACAACAAAACAAAAAAAUAUAUUUAAAACAAAAUACUACAAACAAACAAAAACAAAAAAAAAAAAUGAAAUGAAAACUAAUGAAAAAUAUUGUGAUAGAACACGUUAAAAACACUCCUUUAUUUACUAUUACUAUAUAAAAAAACAUUUAUAUAAGUAUGUAUACAAAACAAAAACAUAUAUACAUACAUAUGUGGAAAAAAUAAAAAGAAAAGCCUAAAAAAAUGGAAAAAAUAUAUAAUCAUUGUAAAAUCCUAUAUUAUGUAUUUAUAUUCAUUAUAUAUUCUACCAAAACUCUGUGAAUGAGGAACAAAAACAAAAAAAAAAAGAAUUAUAAUAUCAACGGCAGCUUUUUUUUUAAUUAUAAAGUCAACAGACUGUGGAAACUUCUUUUUUUUAACAAAAAAAAAAAAAAAAAUAUUACAUAUGCAAUGUUGCUUGUUCAUCAACGUCAUCAUCAUCAUCAACUACUCCACUACUUCUAGAGAAUAUAAACAGAGGGAUUAUUAUGAUGAAACUCAUAUUUGAAAAAAAUAUAUAAUUUGUUUUAUUUUAUUCGACAAGAUUGCUUUGGCUCACCAUUCUUCAAUGCCUGCAUAGAGGCGUUACAAUUGCAUGAGGAAAUGGAUAAAUAUAAUGAAUGGCGUGAUACCUUGGGCAAAAAGUAAAUGGUUAACAGCAACUUAUAUAUAAACGGUCUAUAACUCUAACAAACUCCCGCUUACUCAUCCCUGCAAACAACAAACAAAAUUCUACAAUAUUCCAGAAACAAUGGUUUAACAGAAAAUACUAUUAAAAAAAAAUACAAAAAAAAAAAGUAUUAUAAAAUUUUUUUUUAUUUAAAUAUUAUAAUAAUUUUGAAUUAUAUUAAAAGAAAUAGGUACCUAAAAAAAUGUUGUUUUAGAAAAAAAUUUAAAAAAAAAUUGAUGUAUUUGGCAAAAAGAAACCUAAAAUUAAUAAAUAUAUUUGCAUAUACGUAUAAACAAAAACAAAACAUAAACAAAAAUAUUUAAUAAUAUCUUUAUAUAUGUAAAUGUAAGUAUAAUCCAAAAACGCCUAAACUUUGUACAGCUUUUUUUAUUUUUUUAAUAAAACUUUAAAAAUCUUACUCAAACAUUCAAUUUACUACAAGUAUUUCGAAAUUUGUCUGAUGUAAAUAAGUUUAACAUUUAUGUUUACA